rnacentral:rRNA from 1 species
CGACGAGUGGCGGACGGGUGAGUAACGCGUAGGAAUCUGCCCAUUAGUGGGGGACAACCCGGAGAAAUCCGGGCUAAUACCGCAUACGCCCUACGGGGGAAAGGAGGGGAUCUCUUCGGAGACCUUCCGCUAUUGGAUGAGCCUGCGUCGGAUUAGCUUGUUGGUGGGGUAACGGCCUACCAAGGCGACGAUCCGUAGCUGGUCUGAGAGGACGAUCAGCCACACUGGGACUGAGACACGGCCCAG